rnacentral:miRNA from 1 species
AGUGUUGCUAUCAAUGCUCCGCA